rnacentral:tRNA from 1 species
ACUUUUAAAGGAAAGUA